rnacentral:rRNA from 1 species
CCUACGGGGGGCAGCAGUGGGGAAUAUUGCACAAUGGGGGAAACCCUGAUGCAGCGACGCCGCGUGAGUGAAGAAGUAUCUCGGUAUGUAAAGCUCUAUCAGCAGGGAAGAAAAUGACGGUACCUGACUAAGAAGCCCCGGCUAACUACGUGCCCGCAGCCGCGGUAAUACGUAGGGGGCAAGGGGUAACCGGAUUAACUGGGUGUAAGGGGGGCGUAGACGGGGUUGCAAGUCCGGAGUGAAAGCCAAUGGGUUAAACAUGGGACUGCGCUGGAAACUGUGGAGUUUGAGUGCGGGAGGGGCAGGGGGAAUUCCUAGUGGAGCGGUGAAAUGCGUAGAUAUUAGGGGGAAAACCGGCGGCGAAGGCGGACUGCUGGACCGUAACUGACGUCGAGGCUCGAAAGCGUGGGGAGCAAACAGGAUUAGAUACCCCGGGUAGUC